rnacentral:rRNA from 1 species
CAGCCGCCGCGGGAAUACGAAGGGUGCAAGCGUUAAUCGGAAUUACUGGGCGUAAAGCGUGCGUAGGCGGUGAGUUAAGUCUGCUGUGAAAUCCCCGGGCUCAACCUGGGAAUGGCAGUGGAUACUGGCUCGCUAGAGUGUGUCAGAGGAUGGUGGAAUUCCCGGUGUAGCGGUGAAAUGCGUAGAGAUCGGGAGGAACAUCAGUGGCGAAGGCGGCCAUCUGGGACAACACUGACGCUCAUGCACGAGAGCGUGGGGAGCAAACAGGAUUAGAUACCCCCGUAGUCCCUGUCUCUUAUAC